rnacentral:rRNA from 2 species
GCAGAUUGUGCUUUUGGCGAGGCGCCUUCCGAGUUCCCUGGAACGGGACGCCACAGAGGGUGAAAGCCCCGUCUGGUCGGCCGCCGAGCCUCUGUAAAGCACCUUCAACGAGUCGAGUAGUUUGGGAAUGCUGCUCAAAAUGGGAGGUAUAUGUCUUCUAAAGCUAAAUACCGGCCAGAGACCGAUAGCGCACAAGUAGAGUGAUCGAAAGAUGAAAAGCACCUUGAAAAGGGGGUUAAACAGUACGUGAAAUUGUUGAAAGGGAAGCGCUCGCGACCAGACUUGGGCCCGGCGGAUCACUCGGCGUUCUCGCCGGGGCACUCCGCCUCGUCCCAGGCCAGCAUCGGUUCGCGCCGGGGGACAAAGGCGGCGGGAACGUGGCUCCCCCGGGAGUGUUAUAGCCCGCCGCGGAAUGCCCUGGGGCGGACCGAGGACCCGCGCAUCUGCAAGGAUGCUGGCGUAAUGGUCACCAGCGACCCGUCUUGAAACACGGACCAAGGAGUCGUCUUCGUAUGCGAGUGUUCGGGUGUCAAACCCCUACGCGUAAUGAAAGUGAACGCAGGUGAGAGCUUCGGCGCAUCAUCGACCGAUCCUGAUGUUCUCGGAUGGAUUUGAGUAGGAGCAUACGGGGCCGGACCCGAAAGAAGGUGAACUAUGCCUGUGUAGGGUGAAGCCAGAGGAAACUCUGGUGGAGGCUCGCAGCGGUUCUGACGUGCAAAUCGAUCGUCA